AGUAACGCGUGGGCAACCUGCCUUAUACAGGGGGAUAACAGCUGGAAACAGCUGCUAAUACCGCAUAAGCGCACAGCGCUGCAUGGUACAGUGUGAAAAACUGAGGUGGUAUAAGAUGGGCCCGCGUCUGAUUAGCUGGUUGGGAGGGUAACGGCCUACCAAGGCGACGAUCAGUAGCCGGCCUGAGAGGGCGGACGGCCACAUUGGGACUGAGACACGGCCCAGACUCCUACGGAAGGCAGCAG
rnacentral:rRNA from 1 species